AUCCAAUUUGAAACAUUUCUUUUAUUGAAGAAGUUGAACUUACAGCAGACAGUGAAAGGAGUUACAGCACUCCAGGACAAACACAGACAUAAAAUAAUACAUAAAACAAGUAGCGGGAAACUGGAAGAUGCCAGGGAGUCCUCUUAUAAAAGCAGGGUUCACCAAAACCAGAAGGCCAACUGGCUCCAGGACAGCGAAAGGCACAGUGGCUCCUCUGCUCCUCUGCCUUCUGCCCCAUUUGAAAUGGGGGACUUACAAAUCCAGACUUCAGGGCAGGCCUAGACUUGAUGCAGCCACUGCAAUCUUGGUCCAUGGUGCAAUUUGGCAGACAAGUUGGUGAAAGGUAAGUUGUCUCCAGAGAUUUCAAUCAGGGACGUGGCUUCCAGAUGUUAAAAGAUACCCAGCUAAGUCACAAGGAAGUGGAUGUUUUCAAAUGCUAAGUGACCACCAAACAAAACAUUCUCCCUGGGCCUUCACCACUCAGAGAACACCAACAUACAAAAACAAAAGUCUGUUCCCAUUUCAUCAAUAAUGGAGUUUUAAGGAUUUUGUCAUAGUGUAGAAUAUUAAGAAUGGAUGAAUAAAAAGUCAAAAAAGGUGCAGAGGUCCUAUAAAUCAGGGUUUAUUAGACUAGAUAUUAAUAAAUUGGAAGGGUUUAAAAAAAAAAAGGCUGUUGGCCCUACAUAUGACAGUUUCCCAUUGUUUCUUAGCUUAGUAUAUUUAUUUUCCAACACAAUGUUAGCAAUUCUUACAGCAGUUCUUGCAUUUUUCCAAUAACAUUUUUAUUAAUCAAAUGGUAUAUAUUUUUCACUAUAACCUAUUUUCACUGAUUAAUACAUUUAUCAGUAUUUUAAUGUGGCCUAAAAUAUGCUAAAUUCUGUCACAAUAAAUAUGUUUUUCCCUCCCUGGGGAGAAACACAAGUAAAAAAAGGAAAAUAUUAAGAUGCAUUCCACUUUUUAGUUAAGGAAAAGUUCAGAAAACUCCCAUCUUUUUAAAAAAGAAUGAAAAUAUGAUCCUAAGUAACUCAGGUUAGAAAAACAGUAACAGAGCCAGGCGCAAUGGCUCACGCCUAUAAUCCCAGCACUUUGGGAAGCUGAGGCAGGAGGAUCACUUGAGCCCAGGAGUCUGAGAUCAGCCCAGGCAACAUAGUGAGACCAUGUCUCUAUUAAAAAAAAAAAAAAAUUAAAGAGAGAAAAAAACAGUAAUAAUAAAACAAGUGGGGAGGAGGACAUUUAGAAGAAAAAUCUAGAUAAACCUCUGCACAAAAAUAAUUUUGGAAAAAAGUUAGAAGUCCUACCUGAGAUUAAUUCAGGCGUCACUGGCUAAUGCUAAGGGAAUUCUGAUUGGAAGGCAGCAACUCAGGGGCCCAAGGACCACAUUAACAGAUGCAAUUACCUGCCCUAGAGAAGGCGCUUCCUCACACUCCCACUUAGCUGCAAUGCCAAUACUGUCCUUUCAAGCUUCAACCCUGUGAUUUUAAGAUAUCAAAACUUGUAUCCUUCUUCAGCUCUAUGUAAUUUGUCAAAAAUUUCAAGAUGCAACUCUAUAGCCAAAAAGAGAGCCUUUUACUUUUUCAAACAAAAAUAAACAAGAGAAGUCACUGACUGCUAAAACUAGAAGGGACCCUCAAGAUUGGUAUCACAGGAUCACACCUUCAUCUGGCAGUAGGUUGAGGUCAGUAACUCAGCUCACAUGACAUUUAAAACCACACAACACUACCAGAGAGAGCUACAGGUUCAGAUGCCAAUGGUUUCAAAAAACCAUGAUUCAGGCCGGGUGCAGUGGUUCACGCCUGUAAACCCAGCACUUUGGGAGGCCGAGGCAGGUGGAUCACAAGGUCAGGAGUUUGAGACCAGCCUGGCCAACAUGGUGAAAUCCUGUUUCUACUAAAAACACAAAAAUUAGCCAGGCACGGUGGUGCGUGCCUGUAAUCUCAGCUACUCGGGAGGCUGAGGCAGGACAAUCGCUUGAAUCUGGGAGGCGGAGGUUGCAAUUAGCCAAGAUCGCACCACAGCACUCCAGCCCGGGCGACAACAGCAACACUCCGUCUUGAAAAAAAAAAAAACAAAAAAACCACGAUUCAAGAAAAAGGCAGAUUCUCCUGUGUUCAGCAGCUACUUUAAAAAAAAAAAAAAAAAAAAAGGCACUUCUUGGCCAGGAGUGGUGGAGGACUGCUUGAGCCCAGGAGUUUGAGACCAGCCUGGGGAACAUAGCCAGACCCUGUCUCUACAAAAAUAAAAUUAGCUGAGCAGUUCCAGCUCCUUGGGAGGCUGAGGUGGGAGAAUCACUUGAGCCCGGGAAGUCAAGGCUGCAGUGAGCCGUGACCAUGCCACUGCACUCCAGCCUGGGUGACAGAGCGAGACCCUGCCUGGAAAAAAAACAACAACAACAACAAAAAAGCACUUCCUAAUGAUUGGGGAAAAUAUUAAAUAUUAGGUCAGAGAGUUAAACACUCUUAGAAAUUUUUAAGAAUACAUUUAUUUCACUCAACACUGAAUCUUAAAAUUAUUACUUCUUCAGACCAGGCACGGUGGCUCAGGCCUGUAAUCCCAGCACUUUGGGAGGCGGAGGAGGGCGGAUCACUUGAGCUUAGGAGUUGCAGACCAACCUGCACAGCAUAGUCAAACCCCAUCCCUACCAAAAAAAAAAAAAAAAAAGAAAAUUAUUACUUCCUCUCUCAGGCUUCAAAAUUAAGGAGGAGGGAGGGACAAAUUGGGAUAUCCCAUAGCUGCCUGCAAAAAACACAAUAGCUUAUUCCAUUCUCCCAAGCAGGAUUUAAAAUUUCAAAGUGAAAACAGCAGUCAUAUGUAAUUAUACAUGCUUAACUCUCUCACAUUUUGUAGAAAAACAUACAAAAUACAAAAAAAAAAAAAAAGACUGUAUCAAGUUAGAAAACUUAAAUAGAACACCAAAAUCCAGAUGACCUUGAAGUUUUGCUGGAUCUUAAAAUCACUAGAACUACUUCAAAAUAUAUAAAUAGGCCCCAUUAUGAAAAAUAUAAAUAUGAACAUGAUAAAUAAGCAAGAGAGGAAAGGAAACUGGUCACUCAGAUAAACCAUGACAGGUCCUGGGUAAAAUACAUUUAGACGAUUCGGGGAUGGAGGUACUAGAAUUAGCAAGGCCCUCCCUGCAGCUUGCAACCUGUGGGGAAAAAGCCAAACAGGUGGUAGGCCACGUGUAUUAUUGCUCCUGCCAAAGCCUCCUCUUUCAGAAUCAAAAACCACAAGUAGUUGAGACACUGUGCUUUUCUAUCAAAAUCGCCCUUCACUGGUGAAAAUUAGCCUCCACUGGCAAUGUUCGCUGGGAACUGUACACUCUCCCACUCUUUCUUGUUCCGGUAUCCUACUGACUUUUACAGACCUCGGUAACUUUUUCUGAACCAGGACUCAACUCCUCACUGAGCCAAUGAAAAGCCAUGCUCUGCAGACUUCAGAUGCAGGGCCUAGCAGAGGACUCUGGUCUUAACUCCUGGUCCGUGGCAUUCCACUUACAGCACCGUCUUCCUCAUUUAUUUCAGUAAAGGUCAGAGGUGGGUGCCAGCCACACACCCAUUUCAUAUGUUCAGUUUUACCCACUUGUGUGCUUGACCUUGGACUUAACUUCAAUACUCUGCAUUGCAAUUUGUGAAUCAUCCAUUAAGGCUAAAUCUUAAAAACUAAUCUUUGUCUCCACUGGAGACACAGUAACUAGUAACUAAACCACAAAUCCAGCUUUUUAAGAUUUACCCUGACAGAUUGACUCUCACCCAACAAAAGCUUCCGACAUCCCACUCUACUGCUAAAACAGAAAGUAAAUGAAAGGCUCAGUAGAUGGAAUAAAUUACUCUUCCUCCUCUGCCUCAUACCUACACCCAGCCGCACCAACAAUCUCCUCCGACUACAAAAAAACACUCAAAGUAAACCAGGAAAAAACUAAGGUAGAAAUUUUUAAAAAGCAAAUAAGGCAAGACAAAUAGAAUUCCAAACUGCAUAUAUAUAUAUAAGAUAUAUAUAUAUAAAAUCUUUUAAAUAGAGACAGGGUCUCUUGCUAUGUUGCCCAGGCUAGUUUCAAACUCCUGGGCUCAAGCAAUCCUUCUGCACUGGCCUCCCAAAGUGCUGGGAUUACAGGCAUGAGCCAUGACACCCAGCCCCAAACUGCUGAUAGGUUAUUUUACAAUUAUAAAUUUAUAUCUUGAUGCCACUUACAAAGUUCUAGGCAUUGGUGGGUAACCUGGUUUGCUUUCAAAUGGUCACAGGACAAAGAACUGCCUCCUCACACUCAGAAACGUGUCUAUGAAGGCUAUUUCCAUUUCACAUUUCAGAACCUGAGAGCCUCCAAUACAAGGAAACGAGAGUUAUUUACAAUUUUGAUACACACACGCACCUCAAGAUUUAAGGUUCUAGAUUGAGGAGCCUAGAAAUUUGACUCUAAGGCUUGACCUGCUCACCUAGAUAACCAAAUUAAUGAAGCUACUGGAUACAACCUCAAUAGAGUACAGAGAAAGCUUCUGCACUCCAAGGACUAAGGUAACAUUACUUCCCAAAUCAGAUUAAACCAAAGGGGGAACAGACCUUCACAAGUCACGGCUAUAUAGCAAUUUGGGCCAGGCACAGUGACUCACACCUCCCAGCAUUUGGGGAGGAAGAGAUGGGUAAAUUGUUUGAGCCCAGGGGUUCAAGACCAGCCUGCAAUAUAGCAAACCCCGUCUCUACAAAAAAUACCAAAAAAUUGGCCGGGCAUGGUGGCUCACGCCUGUAAUCCCAGCACUUUGGGAGGCCGAGGCAGGUGGAUCACCUGAGGUCAGGAGUUCCAGACCAGCCUGGCUAACAUGGCAAAACCCCGUCUCUACUAAAAACACAAAAAUUAGCUGGGUGUGGUGGUGGGCGCCUGUAAUCCCAGCUACUCUCGAGGUUGAGGCAGGAGACUCGCUUGAACCCAGGAGGCGGAGGUUGCAGUGAGCCAAGAUGGCACCACUGUACUCCAACCUGGGCAACAAGAAUGAAACUCUGUCUCAAAAAAAAAAAAAAAAAAAAAAUUAGCCAGCCAGGCAUGGUGGUGUGCACUACAGUCCCAGCUACUAUGGAGGUUGAGGUGGGAGGACAGCUGAAGCCCAGGAAGUUGAGGCUGUCAUGAGCCAUGACUGUGCCACUGCACUCCAGCCUGGGUGACAGGAGACCCUGUCUCAAAAAAACAAAAACAAAAACAAUACAUAAUUUGGCUGAAGUCAUCUAGGUUAAUGGUUCUAACUGCAGUCAAGUUCAAUGUAAAAGUACACAAUCCCUUCAGGCUUUCAGAGAAAACCCUGAACACUCAGUUAUACCCUCGCAUGUGAAAAUGAAGAGAAAAAAAGCAGCAAGCGUCAUGAAGAUACAGAAAUAAAUAUGAACUCAUCUGGUUUUGACAUUUUACAAACUAAAUGUGUGAAUCCAAAAGUAUGAUAUCAAGCAGGGAGUGGUGGCUCACACCUGUAAUCCCAGCACUUUGGGAGGCCAAGACAGGUGGAUCACUUGAGGCCAGGAGUUCGAGACUACCUUGGGCAACAUGGCAAAACUCCAUCUCUACUGAAAAUACAAAAAUUAGCCAGGCAUAGUGGCACAGGCCUGUAAUCCCAGCUACUCAGGAGGCUGAGGUACGGGAACUGCUUCAGCCUGGGAGGUGGAGGUUGCAGUGAGCCAAGAUCGUGCCACUGCACUCCAGCCUGGGUGACAGAGCAAGACUGUCUGGGGAAAAAAAAAAAAAAAAAAAAAAGACAUAUUACAACAGUGCCAGACCAGAAAAAUGACGGGUGGUUCACAACACUGAUCACAGACUGAGGUUCAGCUUGUUUCAAAGCAAUGUUCUCUGUUGUCAACAAUCAGAUUUGGGUCACCCACAUGCUAGCAAGCUAAUCUGACUAGGCUGAUCAGGCCUAAAGCUUGGAUUUUUAUUUGUGGACUUUGCAAUGAACUAUGGUCAACAUCACAAAAGGAGUCCUUUAUACUCAAUCUUCUAAAACAAUCCUUAAAAGAAAAACUACAGAGGAUCACCUUGGCUAGGGCAAAAGAAAAAUGCUUCCUUUUCAAAACCCUUCACAUUCUAGAGAGUAAAUCUUGAAGAAAAUAUGGGUUUUUAAUCAAUGAAUCUGAGACAUUGAAUCUUCAUUUAAAAGAAAACAAAAACAGGAUAAACAUAAGAGCCUGAAGACAUAAGGGAGUUCUACUUGUCCAUAUACCAUGCUGAAAAGGAAAUACUUUGGGUGUAUUUUACAAAACACCCAAAGCCUGUCUGAAGGAAUGCCCUUCCGAAUUCUGAGGAUACAAAAGCCCUGUCCUAAGCUUUUUCUAAUCUAUAAACAGAAUUUCAGACCAGAUCUGAAGAACUUGUGCCAUAAAUAAUGCCUCUUGUCUGUACAGAGCUUUUUAGCUUUGUGGUGCUGUUUUUUUUUGGUCCAUCAGCUCCUUCUAAUCCCAACAAGUACCCAGUGAGGGAGGCACGUCAGCCAAAAUCAUCAUCUCUGUCUUGCAUGUAAGAACAAGAGAGGUCAAAUAGCUCAAAACUCACAAAGCAGGAGAGACCUGCAAGAGGACUCAAGUCUGAUGUUCCCCUUGCCAGAAUUAUUAUUUAAAAUUGCAGACAUGUAGAUAAGGCCCAAAUUAAAAUGCAGGUUUUCAACCUCCAAACUCAGAAUCUCUGGUGAUGAAUUUUUAUAAAUACAUUAUGUCAAACAAGUUCCCCAUGUGAUUCUGAAGCCCAUCAGUUUGAGAAUCAUCAGCAUGAACAAUGAUCCAAAUUGAGCCAGAGAACCCAUUUGUUUACCUAUCCUUCAUGAAACACAGAACCUGCCAAGCAAACCAAGCAGCAAAGACUGUAUGUGCUUCAAAUUCAAGAGCCAGGUCAAUGCACUUGGUCAGAUACCCACAGUUUUGGCUUCUCUCUUUACCAAGGUAACUUCUCAAUUGACAGUAGCCAACAGUAUCUUCACAAACUCCUUGCACUCCUGGAAGGUAUCUUCUUGUAGAUGACCAAUACAUAUGGUGUCAAAUUCCUUCUGAAGGUAUUUAACACUUUAAGGGAGGUAUCAUACCAUUAACUAUGGGUGCAACCCUUGUCAAGAUCAUCAGGUUGGGUUUAUAGAGCAUCCAUAACCAUGACUCUACAUAUCCUACAACACACUAUCUCUGCCCAUUUAACUUUAUUUCUGACAGAAAAUGGCAGCAAGUCUCCUUUUGAACUCAUUUCUAAUAGCAUAUAAUUUUAUAAGGGAGAAAAAAAUGGUGACAAUUUUAGAUUAUUUUAUAGAUUAAGAUCAUGUUAACUGACUUUGAAACAUACUUUCAGGGCUGGGUGCAGUGGCUCACACCUGUAAUCCCAGCACUUUAGGAGGUCAAGGUGGGAGGAUCACUUGAGCCCAGGAGUUCAAGACAAGCCUGGGCAACAUAAGGGGACCCCAUCUCUACAAAAAAUACAAAGUUUAGCUGGGCAUGGUGGUGCAUGCCUGUAGUCCCCACUACUCACGAGGCUGAGGUGGGAGGAUCGCUUGAACCCAAGAGGGCAAGGCUGCAGUGAGCCAAGAUCAUGCCACUGCACUCCAGACUGGGCAACAGAGGGAGACCCUGUCUCAAAAAAGAAAGGAAGAAAGAAUCACACCUUCAGAAAAAAAAAAAAAAAAAAUCUCCCCACAGUCAUCUGCCAAGCACUGUCCUGCUAUAUUUCUCAGAAGGAAAUGCCCUGAAAAGGCUUCACAGCAGAUAGGCCAGGCCUUGGACUUCCGAGAGGAAAAACCUCUUACAGCAACGAGAAUUUUAAAAAGCAGGAGGCUGUACAAUAUAAUGUGAAUGAAGAAAAAAGAAGUCAGCUUAGAAAUAAGCACAUCUGACCGAGCACGGUGGCUUACGCCUGUAAUCCCAGCACUUUGGGAGGCUGAGGUGGGUGGACCACGAGGUCAGGAGUUCAAGAUCAGCCUGGCCAAGAUGGUGAAACCCCAUCUCUACUAAAAAUACACAAAAAUUAGCCGGGCGUGGUGGUGGGUGCCUAUAAUCCCAGCUACUUGGGAGGCUGAGGCAGAGAACUGUUUGAACCUGGGAGGCAGAGGUUGCAGUGAGCCGAGAUCAUGCCACUGCACUCCAGCCUGGGCGACAGACCAAGACUCCAUCUCAAAAAAAAAAAAAAAAAAAAGAAGAAGAAGAAGAAAUAAGCACAUCUGAAAAAUCAGUAAAGGAUGUGAAAAGAUC
rnacentral:lncRNA from 1 species